rnacentral:rRNA from 1 species
UGGGUAACCUGCCUCAAAGAGGGGAAUAGCCUCCCGAAAGGGAGAUUAAUACCGCAUAAUAUGUUUAAGUCGCAUGACUUUAACAUCAAAGGAUUUUCUUUUAGAACUUCCACUUUGAGAUGGACCCCGCGGCGCAUUAGCUAGUUGGUGAGGUAACGGCUCACCGUGGCAACGAUGCGUAGCCGACCUGAGAGGGUGAUCGGCCACAUUGGAACUGAGACACGGUCCAGACUCCGUAGG